rnacentral:misc_RNA from 1 species
GUGUUUUUUUAUUAUUUUAUGACAAUAAUAUAAACUUUCCAACUUGUUUCUAUGAAACUUCAGGCUUCAAAUCUAAAGUAGCAAAUCAUUAGAAAUGUUAGAAAGCAACUCAUACUGACAACUGCACUCGCUAUCAAAAUCAUAUUAAGUGAGAAAAAAGGUUUGUAAUUCUAGAAUGUAGUAGAAUACAUGAUAAUGACAACAGAAUUAGCAUUAUGGCUUCUUCUUUUUGGAUUUAAGCAUCACCAUUCCAAUAAAAACGCAUAGAAAGAACAGAAGCGUGACACCGGCAAAUACAGGUAUCAGUAUGGCAUAUUCUAGUGGCGGGAAAUACUGGUGGAUGAAGUGAUCACUAUCUACAAAUGGCAGGAUAAUGACCCAGAAAGUAUAAUAAGUAAAGAUAGAUAAACUGAUGAAUGAUAACAAAAAUCCAACUGCCCUGUCAGCUAAUCCCAUGCCAAAUUUUGUGGCUGCUGGCACCUGUGGGAAGCGGGCCGAGAGCUUGAGGGGUGUCUGUGUAGAAGCGAGACUGUGAAUGGAGGGCGAUCUGUGUAAAAGCGAGCUUGCGGGCCGUCAGUUAUUGGCGUGCGGUGUGGCGACCAUAUUGAAAUAGACGAGAGAAUGAGAAUGGGAACCCGCGGUUGGAGCAAAAGACCGUAACAGAUGAGAUGAGACAAUGAGAUAGGGUC